rnacentral:rRNA from 1 species
UGGUGUGAUCAUUCCAACAUUAAAGAAUCGGAUCCCAUGAGAACUUUGCAGUUAAGUGUGUUUGGGCUAGAGUAGUACUGGGAUGGGUGACCUCCCGGGAAGUCCUAGUGUUGCACCCU